CGAAUUCUAUAUAAAGAAAAUAAUAUAUGAUGACAUAGAAUCAUGCUAAUAAAGAAAAAUAUUAUGAAUGAUAUAGGUUGUUAUGUAAUUUUUAAAAUUAUUCUAACGAGAGCAUGCUAAUAAAGAAAAAUAAUAUAAAUUGAUAUUAGAUCAACUUAAUAAAUAAUUUCUAAAAUUAUGCCAACAAAUCCAAUAGCAAUUUUGUAAGCAGGAGGAGGCUUGCUUGGUGAACUUGAGAAAGACAAAAAAAAUGGGAAACACCUCGGAUGGUAGCAAAAACAAGAGGCACGGAGUCCAUGAAUAUAAGGUUUUAGAAUUUCAGCACCAUGCUGAACUUGGCAUGCAAACAGCCAUUGCAAACUCCGUCGCGUUCACGGCUGCCAGUCUCAUGCGGGGGUGACGGAGAGAGGUGGAAGAAUAAACCCGGCGUGCAUUCUAUUUUACUUAUUCGGACCGUUAUCCGGGAUUAUCGGGUCGCCCCGCGGGACCCACUACCCAAAACGUCCUUCUCCUCCAUUCACUGCAUCCACCCGUCGCCAGCACAGCAUCAGAAAACAGCUGGCUAUCCCGCCCGUUGAGGCCAACCGUUUAUAAGCCCCUCUUUUGCCUCAUCCCUCCUCUUACGCCUCCGCCUUCCAAAAGCCGACGAGAGAGAGAGAGAGAGG
rnacentral:lncRNA from 1 species